ACAGAGGACUCUGUUUUUCUCUAUCCUUCCUCUUGUGACUGCGACGACCAUCUCUCAGGCCCAACUCCACUUCACUCUCUUCUCUCACCUCUAUGCUUUUUUGCCCUUUUAAAUAUUUUAAAUCAUAGUGACAAAGUAGAAGAAAAGAUUUGUAAUGUAAUGGUGGUGAGGGAAUAUUAGUGAAAGAACAUCUUCCUCCCAGAUAAAAUUGUGUGGGAAGGAAAAUGGAGGAAGCUGAAGCUGCAAACAAAGCAGCAGUGGAGAGCUGUCAUGGAGUCUUGAAUCUCUUGUCACAACUAACCAAUGAUCCUAAGUCCAUAAUGUUUGAAACAAGAGAAGCAGUUUCCAAGUUCAGGAGAGUUACCUCUCUCUUGUCUAGUGGGUCAGGUCAAAGGAAGAUUAAGAAACUCAACAACAACUACUACAAGCUUAGGUCUCUUCAGUUGCCCCAACACCUCUUUUUGGAAAGUCCUGUUUCUAGUAAUAAUGCUAUAACUGGUUGCAUUCCAAUUCUAGCACCAAAGCCUCUUCAGAUUGUACCACCUUCUGCUCCUAGUUAUAGUGAACAGCGACAGGGUCAUCCUCCACCUAUGAUGCUUAACCAGAAAAUGUGUGUUGACAAGUCCUUUCUGGAGCUAAAGCCACCGUCUUCUCGUCAAAGUCCCUAUCAGUUUAUCCCUAACCACCAGCAAGGAGUGUACUCUAGGAGCAAUAGUGGUUUAAAUCUGAAGUUUGAUGGGCCUGGUGGUGGUAGUUGUUAUUCCCCAAGUGUCUCAAACGGAUCAAGAUCGUUUGUUUCAUCUCUUAGUAUGGAUACUAGUGUGGCGGAUUACAGCAGAAACUCGUUUCAUUUGAUAGGAUUACCUCAGGGAUCUGAUCAUAUCUCCCAGCAUUCAAGGAGGACAAGCUGCUCUGGUAGUUUGAAAUGUGGUGGUAGAAGCAAGUGUCAUUGUUCUAAGAAAAGGAAGUUGAGAGUGAGACGAUCGAUUAAAGUACCUGCAAUUAGCAACAAGAUUGCUGAUAUACCACCAGAUGAGUAUUCAUGGAGGAAGUACGGACAAAAGCCAAUUAAGGGUUCUCCUCAUCCUAGGGGGUACUAUAAAUGCAGCAGCCUGCGAGGUUGUCCAGCAAGGAAGCAUGUUGAAAGAUGUGUAGAUGAAACUUCAAUGCUAAUUGUGACUUAUGAAGGUGAGCAUAACCAUUCGAGAGUACUCUCUUCCCAAUCAGCUCAAACUUGAUUAACCAAACCGGUCUAGUAUCUGUGGUUUACAAUUGUAUAUUCCACUUGACAUGAUGGUACUUACUUGGGAUUUUACUCGUUGCAUUACAAGUAUGGUUUCAGCCUUAUCUACAUAUAGAUAAAAUGGUAUAAUCUAGAAGGGUUUUUGGUUUGUAUCAGAUGUUGGUUCAAUAGGUUUGGCUUUGUUGAGCAAAUGUCAACUGAUAUUUAUCUAAUAUGAUUGGGUUUCUCUAUUCUCUUCAUCAAGUCCAACCGAAUGUAAAUCAGUGGCAAACUCUUCAAGAUAUAGCUUCAUUGGCUCUUUAAUGAGUGCUAUAUAUAGAUCCUCUUACUCUAGGCUCAUUAACAAGAUUUUUCAAGGCCCACAUUGUUCAUCUAUCAAACCCAAUAGGCCCAAAUUAUUAAACUACAAUUCAUAUUGUACAUUUUUAGACAAAUAUUAGGAAAGAAAAACUAUUUCAAUUCAAUAGUAUUAGACCAUUAACAAGAUGGAAUUUUUUCUUAAAACUGAACCGGAUAGUGUUUACUGGUUUAACCGGGGGUUCAGUCCGGGUUUGAAAACAUUGCUUACUACUUACGGUUUCAUUUUCAUCACAAGAUUUCUGAGUAAGCCUUGGAUCCCAUGAUUAAAUAAUCUAAAGCCACAAAUUAUAGUGGGCCGACGAGGUUAAUUAUAUUCACAGUUGCCAUGAUUUGAUUAUCUGUGUUGUAAGUUCCUUACGUAAGUUUUCUUUCAAGAUGCAAAAUACAUUAGUUUCAUGAAUCAUAUUAAAAAUGCAACACGAUUGAAGAUAGACGUAUGUACCUUAUGUCACAUGGUCCGAUUUCAAAAUGAGAGUGGACCCUUUCGGGUACAGUAAACAUUAGUAUAAGUGUGACAUUCAACGAGGUUAAACACGGUAUAGUUUUGUAGUUUGGAAUCAUGCUAAAGCUUUGUUGUCGAUCAGUCGAUGCAAUAUAUAUUUAGAUUUUGUUUCGUCCCCAGUUUGAAUUUCAUGAAAAUGGAAAUGAAGAUGUGACGUUUCAUUGGAAGAGGGGAAAAAGCUUCACCCAAACCAACAUUGCAUGUGAAUUUUAUGUUUUUUUCUCUUUCCUUUCAUCGAAUUUAGUCACAUGCUCCCUUAUAUCAUAACCUUUAGUUUCUUGAAAGAUACUAUAUAGUAAGAGUUAAUUGUUCCCAAUAAUUCUUGUAAGUAAUUACGCACGAUGAUCAAGAAUAAUCAAUAUGGUCCUGUUUCAGUUUUAGAUCUUUGUUAUAUUAAGUAUCAAAUAUGUACUCCUUAAACCUUUAAUUUGUUAGACUUUUUAAGAAGUUAAUAGUAACUUCUUGUAUCACUCCACCAAAACUUUAAUUUGUUAUCAUGAAGUUAAAAUAAUUUGACAGAUUGAGAAAAAAACUAGAUUUGAUAUAAUAUGUGUCCACCAUGCUCCAUAAUUACCAACACUAGCCGAAAGAGGAGACGAAUGGGUUGAAAAGUAGGGUGUGUUUCCUUGUAGAGGUCCUAAAAUUAUUUUGAUGGCACUUACUCAAUAAUGAUUAAUGCCCUCAUACCCACCCACAUGUUCCCUUCAUAUGUAGUUCCAAUCAAUUUGGUUGGACAAAACACAGAGCAAUACUAAUGGUAACCUAACAACUAUUCUCAAAUCAGUGUUUCCUAAGUCUCAUUCACUUUUUAUUCUCUUUUAUCAUUAUUAGUACCAUUACCAAUACUACCUUUUUUCUUUAGACCUUCGCAUCAAGACUAUCUAAGUUUGGUUCAAGUUCAAGAUAUAACUUGGUGCUAGCCACAAACACCAACAAAAUGUUUUUACUUUGUGUUUGUGAUGCCGCUCCUCAAAGGUUAUAUUUUUUUUUUCUUUUUUUUUUUGGUAAAUUAUAUUUUUGAGUUAUAUUUUAUAUAUAUCAGACGGCUAAAAAUUUUCUUAGUGAUAUGAAGAAAGUGGUUAAAAAAUUCGAAGAAAAGAUAUGGUUAAGUUAAGAUUCAUAGUUCACAAAACAGUUGCAUACAAAAUGUUAUAAAAAAGAAUAGGGUAACAUAUUGAGGAAUGUGAUUCGACAAAAAUAUAAUUAAAAUCUACAUGAUUUUUUACUACGAAAUUAUAAAAGAUUAUUGCCAAUAGUGUUAAAAGGACCCUUUUCAAUCUUAUAUUGCUUCAGGUUAUCCAACUUGGCUAAGUCACUUCUUUGUUUAGGUUGCUUUAUUCUGCCUUGUUUUUCUUGUAGUUUCUUUGGAUUUAUCCUGAUCCUCUCUACUCAUCUUUAUUUUGUUAAUAUAAUGAUAGUAUUUAAAAAAAAACUAUAAAAGAUUUUGAUCCAAAAAAAAACUAUAAAAGAUUAUAUUUCAAACCUUUUUUACAAAUGUCUUUGUUUCAACUACUGACUGUCUCUUCUAGUGUAUAUUUGAACCAUCUAUUCCAACAGUUCUUUUUAUUUGCAUGCAUGGUCACUCCUGAGUAACCCGAAUAAAAUAUUCGUCUAUAGUCUUUAUAUCUUUUGAAAAAAAUAAUAUAAAUAUAGGUUUUUGAAUUUGUAAAAAAAUAUUUUUAUUAAAAUCUUUACUAAAUCGCAUAUAAUUUUUCUUAUAAAAUUUGAAGACCGGCCUAUCUGCAUGUAUGGUACGCUAGACUCGGUUAUUCAGCCAAAUUCAAUUAGGUUAAAAUUAGAAACUUCGUCCAAUUUUUCUAAUUGUAUCAUACGAUCUUUUACUUAACUAUUACUUUAUUUAUUUUAUAACAAAUGUCAUUCUAAUGUUCUUUUAUUGUUUCAAACUGUUAUUCUACAUUUUCAAUAUAAUUUUUUAUAGUAAAUACUUUUCUUAUCUUUUUAAAUAGUUAAUAUAUGUUUCGCUAUAACAUUUUCAUUUAAAUAAUUGUACAAUAAAUAUAUAUAUUAAUAUAUUAAAUCAUUUUUAAUUGGUGAAAUGUGUUUAUAUAAGCUACACUUUUUGUGAAAUUGAGAAAGGAAUUUAAUUUUCAAGUUCAACUCAAACUGUUAUUAUUUUAUGUCCUUUUUUUUGUUUUGAGAAAACUAUUGAAUGUCUUUUUCUUUGUAACAAACACUAAUAUUUUUUUUUUUGAACUUAACAAACAUUAACAUUAUCUAUCGAAUCAAAUAUCUAAUGAUAGCAUUUUUAAAAUAAUAAAUCAAAUAAAAUUAAAAUAACACAAGUUUAUAAUAUGAGUAGAAUAUCG